AGCGAACGCUGGCGGCAGGCUUAACACAUGCAAGUCGAGCGGGCACUUUCGGGUGUCAGCGGCGGACGGGUGAGUAACGCGUGGGAACGUGCCCUCUGGUUCGGAAUAACUCAGGGAAACUUGAGCUAAUACCGGAUACGCCCUUUUGGGGAAAGGCUUGCUGCCGGAGGAUCGGCCCGCGUCUGAUUAGCUAGUUGGUGAGGUAACGGCUCACCAAGGCGACGAUCAGUAGCUGGUCUGAGAGGAUGAUCAGCCACACUGGGACUGAGACACGGCCCAGACUCCUACGGGAGGCAGCAGUGGGGAAUAUUGGACAAUGGGCGCAAGCCUGAUCCAGCCGUGCCGCGUGAGUGAUGAAGGCCUUAGGGUUGUAAAGCUCUUUUAUCCGGGACGAUAAUGACGGUACCGGAGGAAUAAGCCCCGGCUAACUUCGUG
rnacentral:rRNA from 1 species